GAUGAACGCUAGCGGCAGGCUUAACACAUGCAAGUCGAGGGGUAUAGGUUUUCGGACCUAGAGACCGGCGCACGGGUGCGUAACGCGUAUGCAAUCUACCUUUCACAGAGGGAUAGCCCAGAGAAAUUUGGAUUAAUACCCCAUAGUAUAGCAGUUUCGCAUGAAACCACUAUUAAAGUAUCAACGGUGAAAGAUGAGCAUGCGUCCCAUUAGCUAGAUGGUAAGGUAACGGCUUACCAUGGCUACGAUGGGUAGGGGUCCUGAGAGGGAGAGCCCCCACACUGGUACUGAGACACGGACCAGACUCCUACGGGAGGCAGCAGUGAGGAAUAUUGGUCAAUGGACGCAAGUCUGAACCAGCCAUGCCGCGUGCAGGAUGACGGUCCUAUGGAUUGUAAACUGCUUUUGUACGAGAAGAAACAACAUUACGUGUAAUGUCUUGACGGUAUCGUAAGAAUAAGGAUCGGCUAACUCCGUGCCAGCCGCCGCCGUAACAC
rnacentral:rRNA from 1 species